UCCCUAAUGGUGUAGUGGCUAACAUCGUCGUCUUUCACGUGAUCAAUUCCUGAUCAUAUGCAUCACGACAGCCCUGGGUUCGAUUCCCAGUUAGGGAG